GGGGGUGACUGGUUUCGACAUGAUAGCCUUGACAGGGGCAGCAGGCCGUGGUCUCCUCGCCACGUUAAACAGGGGUAAAGCCAAUUAACUGGCAACAAGGUUGUUUCUUUCAAGGGUCAGCGUCAGCUGGCUCUCGCUGCCUAAUUUAUUAGGUUCAGCAUCCUCAAUCCGGGGUUAAAUCCCUGGCGCCGGUGCGAGGUCAUCUCAGGGGAUUGCCGCCGCGGACGCAGCUGGCAUGCCGCGGAACAAGCUUGGACCAGCAGGGGUUUGCGCCGUUUGUCGCUUUCCCAACCAAACCCCACCCAGAAAAGCGACUAAGCCUGAAGACACCUCUCGAUGAGCUGUUGUGGACAGGAGUUCGACUCUCCUCACCUCCACCA
rnacentral:tmRNA from 2 species